GAACCUGAAACCGUGUGCUUACAAGUAGUCAGAGCCCGUUAAUGGGUGAUGGCGUGCCUUUUGUAGAAUGAACCGGCGAGUUACGAUUUGAUGCAAGGUUAAGCAGUAAAUGUGGAGCCGUAGCGAAAGCGAGUCUGAAUAGGGCGUUUAGUAUUUGGUCGUAGACCCGAAACCAGGUGAUCUACCCUUGGUCAGGUUGAAGUUCAGGUAACACUGAAUGGAGGACCGAACCGACUUACGUUGAAAAGUGAGCGGAUGAACUGAGGGUAGCGGAGAAAUUCCAAUCGAACCUGGAGAUAGCUGGUUCUCUCCGAAAUAGCUUUAGGGCUAGCCUCAAGUGAUGAUUAUUGGAGGUAGAGCACUGUUUGGACGAGGGGCCCCUCUCGGGUUACCGAAUUCAGACAAACUCCGAAUGCCAAUUAAUUUAACUUGGGAGUCAGAACAUGGGUGAUAAGGUCCGUGUUCGAAAGGGAAACAGCCCAGACCACCAGCUAAGGUCCCAAAAUAUAUGUUAAGUGGAAAAGGAUGUGGCGUUGCCCAGACAACUAGGAUGUUGGCUUAGAAGCAGCCAUCAUUUAAAGAGUGCGUAAUAGCUCACUAGUCGAGUGACACUGCGCCGAAAAUGUACCGGGGCUAAACAUAUUACCGAAGCUGUGGAUUGUCCUUUGGACAAUGGUAGGAGAGCGUUCUAAGGGCGUUGAAGCAUGAUCGUAAGGACAUGUGGAGCGCUUAGAAGUGAGAAUGCCGGUGUGAGUAGCGAAAGACGGGUGAGAAUCCCGUCCACCGAUUGACUAAGGUUUCCAGAGGAAGGCUCGUCCGCUCUGGGUUAGUCGGGUCCUAAGCUGAGGCCGACAGGCGUAGGCGAUGGAUAACAGGUUGAUAUUCCUGUACCACCUAUAAUCGUUUUAAUCGAUGGGGGG
rnacentral:rRNA from 2 species